UACAGAGGGUGCGAGCGUUGUCCGGAAUCACUGGGCGUAAAGGGCGCGUAGGCGGUUUGAUAAGGUUGCGGUGAAAGCCCGGGGCUCAACCCCGGGUCGGCCGUGGCAACUGUCGAGCUGGAGCACUGUAGAGGCAGGUGGAAUUCCGGGUGUAGCGGUGGAAUGCGUAGAGAUCCGGAAGAACACCGGUGGCGAAGGCGGCCUGCUGGGCAGUGGCUGACGCUGAGGCGCGACAGCGUGGGGAGCAAACAGG
rnacentral:rRNA from 1 species